ACGGCUUUUAAUAGAGCUAUAACACUCAUCGCAAGGCCCAAGAUUCCAUUCCUUGGAAUCUGUGAGGCCAAGAACCCUAGGUCAGAGAACACGAGGCUUGCCACCAUCUUGGAAGCAGCCUGCCACCAUCUGGGAAGCGGCCUGCCACCAUCUUGGAAGCCGCCCGCCACCAUCUUGGGAGCUCUGGGAGCAAGGACCUCCCCGCAACCCAGUAACAUUUAGCGACCACGAAGGGACCUCCAAAGCGGAUGGAGCUCCUUGAGGCUAGAACAGCAUUCUGUAUUCAUCUUUGUGCCCCAAAUACGCAGGUAAGAAGUAGGCACUCAAAAAAUGAAUAAAUGUCUACGUAAUACAUGUAACUGUGCUACUUUGUGAUGUGUCGUAUCUCCUUUGCUGGGCAGGGAAUAAAUUUGAGAAAAAGAUAGAUUUAAGAUGUGAUUUUCUUGUGGGUAGAGAUGUGCAUGCAUGUGUGUGUGAGUGAGUGAAUAUAUGUGUGGGAGACACAGUGAUAAAUUUCAGAGGAGGGGCAGAGCCAGGGCAAAGACCCAGAGUAGGUAACAACAAGGUAUGUUCAGAGCUUGACAAGUUCUGUUAGGCUGAGCCUGGGGGUUGUGAGGGAGGAGUCAGAAAUAAGCCUUAUCUGCC
rnacentral:lncRNA from 10 species